GAUGAAGAACGUAGCGAAAUGCGAUAAGUAAUGCGAAUUGCAGAAUUUCCGUGAGUCAUCGAAUCUUUGAACGCACAUUGCGCCCCCUGGCAUUCCGGGGGGCAUGCCUGUCCGAGCGUCAUUGCUGCCCUUCAAGCCCGGCUUGUGUGUUGGGUCGUCGUCCCCCCCGGGGGACGGGCCCGAAAGGCAGCGGCGGCACCGCGUCCGGUCCUCGAGCGUAUGGGGCUUUGUCACCCGCUCGAUUAGGGCCGGCCGGGCGCCAGCCGGCGUCUCCAACCUUCUAUUUUACCAGGUUGACCUCGGAUCAGGUAGGGAUACCCGCUGAACUUAAGCAUAUCAAUAAGCGGAGGA
rnacentral:misc_RNA from 1 species